rnacentral:rRNA from 1 species
AUUGAACGCUAGCGGGAUGCUUUACACAUGCAAGUCGAACGAAUGGCGGAAGGGUGAGUAAUAUAUCGGAACGUGCCCCGUAGCGGGGGAUAACUACUCGAAAGAGUGGCUAAUACCGCAUCCUAUAGGAGCGGACGAUAUCGGAUUAGCUAGUUGGUGUGGUUAAUGCUCACCAAGGCAACGAUCCGUAGCUGGUUUGAGAGGACGACCAGCAACACUGGGACUGAUACACGGCCCAGACUCCUACGGUAGGCAGCAGUGGGGAAUUUUGGACAAUGGGGGAAACCCUUAUCCAGCCAUCCCGCGUGUAUGAGAAGGCCUUCGGGUUGUAAAGUACUUUUGGCAGAGAAGCGGUAUCUGCAGAAUAAGCACCGGCUAACUACGUGCCAGCAGCCGCGGUAAUUC